UACGUAGGGUGCAAGCGUUAAUCGGAAUUACUGGGCGUAAAGCGUACGCAGGCGGUUUGCUAAGACAGGUGUGAAAUCCCCGGGCUAACCUGGGAACUGCGCUUGUUACUGGCAAGCUAGAGUGUGGCAGAGGGGGGUAGAAUUCCAGGUGUAGCAGUGAAAUGCGUAGAUAUCUGGAGGAAUACCGAUGGCGAAGGCAGCCCCCCUGGGUUAACACUGACGCUGCAUGUACGAAAGCGUGGGGAGCAAACAGG
rnacentral:rRNA from 1 species